rnacentral:rRNA from 1 species
GGGAUUAGAUACCCCACUAUGCUUAGCCUUAAACUUAGAUGACACUUUACAAAAAUAUCCGCCAGGGUACUACAAGCGCUAGCUUAAAACCCAAAGGACUUGACGGUGUCUCAGACCCACCUAGAGGAGCCUGUCCUGUAACCGAUAAUCCCCGUUAAACCUCACCACUCCUUGUUUUUUCCGCCUAUAUACCGCCGUCGCAAGCUUACCCUGUGAAGGUCCUACAGUAAGCAAAAGGGUAUUACACCAAAACGUCAGGUCGAGGUGUAGCUUACGGAGUGGAAAGAGAUGGGCUACAUUUUCUAUAUUAGAACAAAACGGAUAAUACUAUGAAACUAGUAAUUGAAGGUGGAUUUAGUAGUAAAAAACAAAUAGAGAGUCUUUUUGAAACAGGCUCUGAGACGCGUACACACCGCCC